AGGUCUGUAGGUUAACGGUAGACCAAGGGUCUCCAAAACCCUGAGUAGAGGUUCGAUUCCUCUCAGACCUG
rnacentral:tRNA from 1 species